UACGUAGGGUGCAAGCGUUAAUCGGAAUUACUGGGCGUAAAGCGUGCGCAGGCGGCUUUGCAAGACAGAUGUGAAUCCCCGGGCUUAACCUGGGAACUGCAUUUGUGACUGCAUGGCUAGAGUGCGGCAGAGGGGGGAUGGAAUUCCGCGUGUAGCAGUGAAAUGCGUAGAUAUGCGGAGGAACACCGAUGGCGAAGGCGGCUCUCUGGGACGGUACUGACGCUGAGACGCGAAAGCGUGGGGAGCGAACGGGG
rnacentral:rRNA from 1 species